AGAGUUUGAUCCUGGCUCAGAUUGAACGCUGGCGGCAUGCCUUACACAUGCAAGUCGAACGGUAGAGGGGCAACCCUUGAGAGUGGCGAACGGGUGAGUAAUGCAUCGGAACGUGCCCAGUCGUGGGGGAUAACGCAGCGAAAGCUGUGCUAAUACCGCAUGUGAUCUGUGGAUGAAAGCAGGGGACUUGGUAGCAAUACUGGGCCUUGUGCGAUUGGAGCGGCCGAUGUCAGAUUAGCUAGUUGGUAGGGUAAAAGCCUACCAAGGCGACGAUCUGUAGCUGGUCUGAGAGGACGACCAGCCACACUGGGACUGAGACACGGCCCAGACUCCUACGGGAGGCAGCAGUGGGGAAUUUUGGACAAUGGGCGCAAGCCUGAUCCAGCAAUGCCGCGUGCAGGACGAAGGCCUUCGGGUUGUAAACUGCUUUUGUACGGAGCGAAACGGUCUGGGUUAAUACCCUGGGCUAAUGACGGUACCGUAAGAAUAAGCACCGGCUAACUACGUGCCAGCCGCCGCGGUAAUAC
rnacentral:rRNA from 1 species